rnacentral:lncRNA from 1 species
GUGAAGCCCAUAACGUGUAAGUGAACAAAAUAAUGGCAUUUUUUACACAAUUGGGCCAAACGCUGUAGCCCAGUUACACGAAUCAACACUGAUGAAUGAUGCAAACUACAUUUCUUCAUGAAACUCUGUAGAUUUUAAAAACUAUUGCCAAAUUCUUGCAAACUUAGACAAAUGCAAAACAUAUUUAUGAUGCCAAAUUCCAUUCUAUAAAUAGACGUAUCCUGAUGCUGCAAUAAUUCAUACGCAAUUACCCUUUUCUCAAAAAUAAUUCAUGACUUAUCGCCAUACAGUAACAUGAUUCCCAAAUAAAGAAUGCACUUGCUAAUAUGAAUCCCAAUUGAAAAUUUCUGAUUUCAAACCUAUGCAUAUCAUCUUAACAAAUUCAAGCAAAUCCCCAAACAAACGCUGUCCCCAAUAAACUUAAAUUGGUAUGAAGCAAGAAUAUGUAGUUCAGCUUAGAACUUCUAUUACAGUAAUUCCACAGUCCAUACAUGUCAAAAUAACAACUUCAAUAGUAUUAUAAUUAACAUGUGACAUUUAAACAACUCUUCUAUAGACCAGAUUUAAACUAGUAAUAUAAAUGAACAAACAAAAUACAGGAAGAGAAAACUAAACUACUACAAAAUUGAGUGAGUUUAAGAACACAAAAGGAUAUUUGAUAAACACAGAUGCCAUAGAUUUUCAAUUUAAUCAACAGCUGCCAAUCCUUUUUAUUUCAACAUGUCAUUGGGGUUCAGUAAAUUCCUAGUUAGAGCAAUCAAAAACAAGGAAAUAAGAGCUUGAAGUUUAAGAGGAAACAACAGUAAGUCAACAAUGGAACAUUACAAAAUCAGCAGAUCAACCUCAAACUCUCGACCCAAUUCCAAGCAUUUAAACCCUGAUGCACUAUUCUAUUGAACUUUUAGAAAUUCUGACUUAUCAAAUGGAAUUAGAACAAAAAAACCAAGAAAUUUUGAACAAUUUCAGUAUUUGAAAUUUGAAAGAAAACUAUUUUUAUUUUUUUUCAGUCUCUAAAAUCUGACUUGAUUAGGAAGUAACAUGCCUUUUAUAGAAGCUACUUAGGGCAGCAGAAAAUGGUUCAGAUUUUGCCUAUUACUCCUUUUCAAAUUUUUAUUUUUGCUAGUUAGUCCAUGAUUUUAAAAUCUAUUUUUUAAACUAGCCCCAACCCCACCUUCCUAGCAGCUUCCUAAAUCAGUUACACAAGAUUCCCUGAACAAAAAAACCUGAAUUACCCUUUAAGCACCUCCCAAUUACCUCAGCAAACCACAUGGGCCAAGUCUGACCCAAGACUUAAACCAAAAUGAAUGGGCUUCCCUCGAAAAUUGAUCAUAAAUGACCCCAAAGUCCAAACCAAAUCAGAAAUUAAUUUUAGUGAUUCAUAAGAAACAGAAGAAGAAACAACUUGAAUGAUUUCAAAACUAAAAUCUAGCUAAUGAUUGAUUACUAACACAAAUAAGCAUUAAAUUAACUAGAUUACUUAGUCGAGACAACCUAAUUGAACUGAUUUUAAGAUUAAAACAAGAAAGGAAGGAAUAACAACUAAACAAGCAAAUGAAUAAACUAAACAGAAAUAAAAGAACAAAUUUUAAAAUUUGAAAAGAAAAACUAAACAACAAACGAAACAAAUACAGAGACAAAUCAAUCCAAAGGGAAAAAUCUAGGUUCAAAAUUUGGACCUUUGCUAAAUUUAAAACAGAAGAGACUACCUAAAGAAAGGUGAAGAAAGAAGGGGAACUGAUGGUGAAGCAACAAAGCGGAUAGAAAAAUCAAAGAAAACUUACCGACUUAAACUCAAAACCAACACUGAACGCUCCGAUUUAACCAAAACCAAUGCUAAUCGCUUGUUCUUUAUCAAGAACCAUUGAGCAUCAUUAAUUUUGUGUUAAAUCGCACUUUGAAACUCAAAAACUUGGAGGUCUAGGUCUUUCAUGCCACAGAUCCGAGGGUAAGGCAAUUUGGGGUUUAGGGCUUCAACCUUUGAUUCAAUAUUCAAACAAGUGUAGAGGGAUUCGAGGGACGUGGUAUUGGGAUAUGGAAAUAGGAUGGGCUAAGGGUUAUGGGAUGUGAUCUCAGGGGUGAUUUGAGGUGGAGCCGCCACCGGAGGGAGUGGGGAUUUUAGGGGUAACGCUAGGGUUCAUGAGGAUCUCUGAAUGUGAAAGUGAAUAGAGGCGUGUUUGGACUGGGGAGAAAACCUGUUCGGACACUUUUAUAGGAAACUAGAGAUCAAUUUUGGCAGUUUGAUCGAAUGAAAUCAACGGCUCCCAUGAAAAGAGGUGCAAAC